rnacentral:rRNA from 1 species
GACGAACGCUGGCGGCGUGCCUAAUACAUGCAAGUUGAGCGCUGAAGGUUGGUACUUGUACCAACUGGAUGAGCAGCGAACGGGUGAGUAACGCGUGGGGAAUCUGCCUUUGAGCGGGGGACAACAUUUGGAAACGAAUGCUAAUACCGCAUAAAAACUUUAAACACAAGUUUUAAGUUUGAAAAAUGCAAUUGCAUCACUCAAAGAUGAUCCCGCGUUGUAUUAGCUAGUUGGUGAGGUAAAGGCUCACCAAGGCGAUGAUACAUAGCCGACCUGAGAGGGUGAUCGGCCACAUUGGGACUGAGACACGGCCCAAACUCCUACGGGAGGCAGCAGUAGGGAAUCUUCGGCAAUGGACGAAAGUCUGACCGAGCAACGCCGCGUGAGUGAAGAAGGUUUUCGGAUCGUAAAACUCUGUUGGUAGAGAAGAACGUUGGUGAGAGUGGAAAGCUCAUCAAGUGACGGUAACUACCCAGAAAGGGACGGCUAACUACGUG